GGUUAAGCGACUAAGCGUACACGGUGGAUGCCCUGGCAGUCAGAGGCGAUGAAGGACGUGCUAAUCUGCGAAAAGCGCCGGCGAGGUGAUAUGAACCUUUGACCCGGCGAUGUCCGAAUGGGGAAACCCAGUGUGAUUCGUCACACUAUCGUUAACUGAAUACAUAGGUUAACGAGGCGAACC
rnacentral:rRNA from 1 species